rnacentral:lncRNA from 1 species
AAGAGAAUGCUUGCAUUUAAGAAACAAGAAGGAACAUGGAAGGACCAGAGGUAGAACAAACUGAAAGGAAGGUGGAGCACCGGUGUCAUAGAUCCUGAGGCAGAUGAAGUUAAACCAUGAAAAAGAGAAAAGUGACCCAUGUGGUUGUGGUGUGAGAGAAAUUCACUCUUUAAAUAUGCACUGAGGAGACUUCUGUUCCCAGGAAGAUGAAGUAGACAUCCUUUUUCCUAUUUCUGCCACUAAAUAAAGCUAAAAACUCUGGACAUUUUGUAUAAAACAAACAUAUGAAGCUUCGGAAAGUUGGAAAGAAGACAGAUCGGCUAAGGACCUCAUGACCAGUAGAAAGACAUGGUAGUGAAGUCUCUAGAUUUUCUUUUUGCUUCAUAGGUCUCUGGUCAGGUACUGGAGAAGCUAGCAAUCCAGAAAUUCCAAUGGGCUUGGACACAGUCACGGGCCAGUGGAGAACACGUGGGGAGUCUGGACUUCCACUCGCUCCCACCCAGUAGCUACAAGGUACCUCACCCCCAGGGUCAGUGGAGGGCACGUGGAGAGCACUAAUGAGGUGCCCCUGGAACUUCUAUCUCUAUCUUGGCAGUAAUGAGGCAGCAUCCUCCCUUCCUCUGAGGGAGUGGUGUCAGAGGAGGCCUGCUAAAAUACAAGAUUUAAAUAAGGUCCAGUCUUUUUAAUAUAAAACCCCAAAUGUCCAAGAAUCAAUGGAAAAUCACUCAUCGUAACAAGGAAGACCUCAACUUGAAUGAGAAAAGACAAUCAACAGAUGCUGAGACUGAAAUGAAACUGAUGUUAGUAUCAUCUGACAAGGAUUUUGAAGCAGCCACCAUCAAGGUACUUCCAUGAACAAUUACAAACAUGCUUGAAACGAAAGAAAAAAUAGAAAGUCUCAGCAAAGAAACAGAAGCUACAAAGAAAAACCAAAUAGGAAAGUUAGAACUGAAAAACACAACGGCACAAUCAGUGCACUUGAGGAUAGAACACUAGAAAUUACUCAAUCUCAACAACAGAGGAAAAAAACUAGGGGGGGCCUGGGGUGGGGAAGAGCCUCAGGGACAAGUGGGACUGUAAGAAAAGAUCUAACACUUGGGUCACUGGAGUCCCAGAAGGAAAGGUGAAAAUAGAUGGGCUGAAGGAGUAUUUGAAAAAAUAAUGGCUGAAAACUACCUAAAUUUGGGAAAAGAUAUAAACCUAUAGUUCAAGAAGCUGAGCAAACCCCAAACAGAAUAAACCCAAAGAUAUUCAUGCCAACACACAUCAUAGUUAACCUUCUGAAAACUAAGGAUGGAAAAAAAAAUCUUUUUUUUCCCCUAGAUUGGCCAUGAGCUAACAUCUGUUGCCAAUCUUUUAUUUUCUUCUUCUUCUGCCCAACCCCCCCAGUACAUAGUUGUAUAUUCUAAUUGUAGGUCCUUCUUGUUCUGCUAUGUGGGACACCACCUCAGCAUGGCCUGAUGAGCUGUGCUAGGUCCGCGCCCAGGAUCCAAACUGGCAAAACCCACGGACACUGAAGCGGAGCGAGCAGCCUUAACCACUCAGCCAUAGACCCAGCCUGGAAAAAAAAUCUUAAAAGCAACCGGCGAGAAACCAUCCAUGAAACGCUCUGAUUUUUGGCAUUAGAGGAAUAGGCUGGUCACCAGCAUUUCCUGUUGAUUUCAACUAUUAGUCUUCUGCUUUUAACUGGACUCAACCAGGCCAAGAUGUACAGAGCAUUUACAUUUACAAAUUAUGCUGGGCACCUGGGGGACAUUUAUCACCCCAUUCUUCUUAUAGCUGCCCCACUGCAGGUGUUAUCCCUCAGAGCAAAUUAAGGAAUUCCAGAAUUGGAAAGAACCUCAAAAAAAAAAAGGAAAUACAAGAGUAGAAAUUUGUAAUUUGGGAUUUCUGGAUGGGCUUCAGCUCUGUGAACUCCCUGAAAUUAAUCUAAAAAUGCCAGUAUGUAUGUGCUUUUUUCUAGGGAAAGGACCAUAGUUUUCAUCAGCUUCUCAAAGGAGCUGAUGGCCCCCAAAAGGUUAAGAGCCACCAUAAGAGUUUCUGUUCUUUUCAGGCAAACCCAUAUAAUCCAACCUAGAUAGAUUGGCUAAAAAAAAAAAAAAUGAGGCUAAAAGUAGGGAAGAUAUUCCCUAUCAUAUCCAUCAAAAUUCCUGAAUGCCACCUCAUGAUGAUUCUCUAUUUUUAAGGAGAAAAUAGGAAAACGACAGUUUCUAAUUCCUUCUAGGCACUUCUGAAAAUACAUGUGCAUUAAAGAAUGUUUGCCUGUAGUCUUAUUUUGAACAUUUUAAGAAUAGUAACUGGAGGUGACUACAUGACUAAUACACUGUGAUUUAAAAUGUACUUGAGGUUUGAUUUCUCUCAAUGCCAUUGGAAGAGUUCAGACACACGAGGAAGCCACAGCAGCCUCUCUAGAUCAGUACCAAUGGGCUGGUUUACAGUCCACAGGGCAAACUGGCCUUUUUCUGCAUUCCUUUUUCCAUCUUUCAGAAAACAAAAAAAGGCAUGUAAAAUCAAGUUCUACUACUUACACAAUGUGUAACUGCCAAUUUAUCUGAACAAAACAUGUUAGUGCUUUCUCUGGUGAAAAAACAAAAGAACUAUGACAAAUACAGAUCCAUUCAGUUUCUUCACUAUCUUGAUAGCGUGGCUGUCCCUUACUCCUUGACUCCUCUGCCAAAUCCCUCAUGCAAGCCAGCUCAGCUCACAUCUGUAUUGUAAUAUACUGUAAACAAGAUUGUAGAUUGCUCCUGCCUGUUUUCCGACCAAAAUUAAGGCUCCCAAUGUCACCUGGAGAGCUAGAGAUUGGUUAAUGCAUUAUCUUAGGGAAAAAACUUGACUACCUGCUUCCAUUAAGACCCUAAAGUAGUUUGACUU